AUUGAACGCUGGCGGCAUGCUUUACACAUGCAAGUCGAACGGCAGCGCGGGGGCAACCCUGGCGGCGAGUGGCGAACGGGUGAGUAAUGCAUCGGAACGUAUCCUGUAAUGGGGGAUAACGUAGCGAAAGUUACGCCGAUACCGCAUACGCUCGAGAGAGGAAAGUGGGGGAUCGCAAGACCUCACGUUAUAGGAGCGGCCGAUGUCCGAUUAGCUAGUUGGUGGGGUAAAGGCCUACCAAGGCGACGAUCGGUAGCUGGUCUGAGAGGAUGAUCAGCCACACUGGGACUGAGACACGGCCCAGACUCCUACGGGAGGCAGCAGUGGGGAAUUUUGGACAAUGGGCGAAAGCCUGAUCCAGCCAUGCCGCGUGCGGGAAGAAGGCCUUCGGGUUGUAAACCGCUUUAGUCCGGGAAAAAGGGGUGCGAGGAUAAUACCCUUGUGCUUUGAUGGUACUGGAAGAAUAAGCACCGGCUAACUACGUGCCAGCAGCCGCGGUAAUACGUAGGGUGCGAGCGUUAAUCGGAAUUACUGGGCGUAAAGCGUGCGCAGGCGGUCUUGUAAGACAGUCGUGAAAGCCCCGGGCUUAACCUGGGAACUGCGAUUGUGACUGCAAGGCUAGAGUGUGUCAGAGGGGGGUGGAAUUCCACGUGUAGCAGUGAAAUGCGUAGAGAUGUGGAGGAACACCGAUGGCGAAGGCAGCCCCCUGGGAUAACACUGACGCUCAUGCACGAAAGCGUGGGGAGC
rnacentral:rRNA from 1 species